AUGGCCGGAGAAGACGCCGCCGUUUCCGCGGGCACUGCGGCGCCGCACAAUCCGCCCAAGAAGGAGGUGUACGACGAAGACGAUGAAAACGACGUGCCGCUGGCGUUCUCUCGAGGCAAGAAGAAAGCGAGCGCGGCGAGCGCCACCAAGGUCAAGAAGGAGGAGGACGACGAUGAUAACAUUCCGCUUGCGCGUCGGGCCAAAAAAGCGAGCAAUGGGGGUGCAAAGAAGGAGAAAAAGGAGGAGUACGAGGAGGAAGAGGAGGAGUACGAGGAGGAGGAGGAGGAAGACGACGACGACGAGGAUUUUGCAGAUGAGUACACUCCGGUUUCGCGGGGAAAGAAGGGAAAUGAGAAGGAGAAAAGCACUUCCAAUAGCAAGGUGAAGGCUUCUAAAGUAAAGAAAGAAGAAACAGGUUCUGAUGAUGAAUGCAAGCCAAAAUCGCAGAAGAGAAGUCCAGCUGCAGGCAAACCCAAGAUCUCCAAGAUUAAGAAACCAAAAGAUGAAUAUGAUACAAAGGAGGAAAAGAAAAUAAAGAAGGAAGUUGGUAUCAAGGAAGAUGAAAAGAAGGCUGCUGGGGUGAAGAAGGAGGGGGCUGCUGGGGUGAAGAAGGAGAGAAAGGUGUAUGAAUUGCCAGGGCAGAAACAUGAUCCUCCUCCUGAAAGGGAUCCAUUGAGGAUAUUUUAUGAAUCGCUCUAUGAGCAGGUGCCCGAUAGUGAAAUGGCUGCAUUUUGGUUGAUGGAAUGGGGUUUGCUACCGCUGGAUGUGGCUACAGAGGUCUUUGCGAGGAAACAGGGUCAGAAACAGGUUCUGAAACUGAGAUCACCGGUCAAAACGCCUUCUACACAGAGAAGGGCAAGUUCUCCAACCAAGAAGGUACUGCUGUUAGGCGAUAAGAAAACCAACUCAGGUACAAAGGGAAAAACCACAGCGCAAAAGAAGAGGGCAUCUAGCAACACUGAUGACGACGAGGACGACGACUUUGUCGAAACCAACUCAGCCACAAAGGGAAAAACCACAGCACAAAAGAGAAAGAAGGCAUCUAGCGACACAGAUGACGACGACGAUGAUGACUUUGUCAUGCCUAAGAAGCCCAAGAAGCAAAAGAUCUCUAGCUAA
rnacentral:rRNA from 1 species